UUAUUUAAUAAGAUGGCUAGCUAUGGUCAUAUUUUCUUUUGCUUUAUCAGUAUAUUACUUAAGCAUCAUAAACAGCUUAUUUGUUCAUACGUAUAUAAUGGAACAAGAUGUGUUGAAAACGCAUAAAUUAACUGAUAUACAAUAUAGCCUUGUUCAUAAUAUUAUAAACUAUUGUAACAACCAAUUGAAUUUGAAAUCAUACUAUCAAUGUCAUAUAUCAAUGCAUUUAUAUUCGGAAAGUCUAAACAUAGGUGGAGAAAAUAUGAGUAGCAUAAUUAUAGAACAGUGUCAAAUUUUUUUUUUCUUUUUUUUUUCCUUAUUUUUUAUUACAUCUUCUUUGUCAUAUAGUGAUAGGUACGAAUCUUUAUUCAGACUUAGUUGUAUAAAAAAUUCAAAGAG